UGAGUUUCCAAUUUUGAGCUCAUUUCAAACGAACACAUGGUGUUCUUUUUAAAUUUAGGUGCCAUAAUCCCUCAAUGUCUUCUCAUAUGUGUCUGCGUUUUUGUGAUGUUUGAGUUUUAAUUGUAAGAGUGAUUUAAGGAAAUAUGGAUUAUAUAAGAGGAGAAAAUAGAGUUGCAGCUAAUGGUUCAUCUCUGGCACAGAUUCAUUUCACAAGCUGUCCCUUUUUGUUAAAAUUAACUUGUGACCUGAACUAAUUCCUUUGAUUUUGCUAAAUCUAAACAGGAAACAACAUUUUACAACUACUAUCUUGCUUUGGUGAUGAUGAAGACAACCCCAGCAACUUAUGCUAUUGACGUCCCAUUAUUUGAACGAGCAAACCUAGCCAAAAUAGUGGUAAGAACAGAAUCAUCUCUGGCAGCAACAUAAAAUUCUUUAAAUGACUCUUCAAUUACCAAAGCUUGAUCUUUGAUGGCUUUGUAACUUAAAUCUCAUAAAUUUAAUAAGCAAAGCAUAUUAGUCAGUUGAUGUAAUUCAAUGUUUCUGAAUCAUUUUUAUACUUCUCAGUAAUUAUUUUUUAUACACAUGACUUCGAUAUAUAUGAUGUUUGCACUUAUUAGUUCCUUCUUGCAUCGUCUUUUCAACUCUUUCAGAUUCAAUAAGCACAAUUUGAUAUGUCUACCUCAGUUUUCUACUCUUUUGGAUAUAGUUUCUUCCUAAGAUUUCUACAUGCAUGAUACUAACUACUUCUUCAUUUGCCCAAUGCAUUAGUUUCUUUGAUGAAUUUAAUGUUUAUAGCCAUUAAUUAGUGCAAAAACUUAACAGUCUUACAAAAAUCUAAGAUAUCAAGAAUGUCUAUGCCUUGAAUUUUUAAGUCAAUUCUACAUCCAAGUUGUUUGGUAAUAUGCCUUCGUUAACUCAUUUAAAGUUUUUUGUUGCCAUUUUUAUUUUUAGGCUGCAUCAACAUUAUUUGUAUUAGGACUGAAG
rnacentral:lncRNA from 1 species